rnacentral:lncRNA from 1 species
GAUACUGCCCUAAUUCUGACCAUAAACGAUGCCAACCAGCGAUCCACCUGACUUGAGCACACUAAUU